UACCAGAAAGCCUGUCCACAGAGGGUUAGGAUGGAGACAGAUGAGCCCAUCACUUUGCUACCAAGGUCGAUCACUGAUAUAAGGGUCUUUCCCAAGGUAAGCACCUUACUCAUGGUAAGGAGAGAACUUCCUUUCCUCUUCCUUCUCUCCGGUGUUCCAGGGGAAUUUCUUUGGGGAAAGUGCCUCAAGAAGUCCCCUGACUGCAGAUCCCAACAGCAGGAGAACCAGCAGCAGCACGUCCUGCAUGCCCAGAGAUGGAAGAGCAAAUGGAAUAAUGCAUAUUCCAGAACAUCCUCUCAGGGAAACUGUAGCACCACAGAGAGGCAGUUUAGCCCCAGACAAAUAUGAAAUGUAGCACCAGAGAAACUAAAGUCAGAAGAACAGCUUA